UGAGACCUCAGUGGUUGUUUUAAAGCGCUUUAUAAAUAAAGUUGGAUUGGAUUGGAUCUAUUAAUUAGUCAUCAUUUAGCUAACAUCAUCUACAUGCAACAGCAUUACUCAACUUACAAGGUUUGUUUGGAAGAAACUGUGCAAGGUUUUUUGCUUCUUGCUGGCUGGUUUGCUGCACUGCCCAGCACACGUCUUGUCUGUGCCAUUGAUUCAGAUCACAACACCACAGCAUGUGUAUGCGCCUUGCACCGUCUACUCAUGGUGCAUUUAAGACAGCUCGGAAAAACACGUUCCUACAUGUUAAAAACAAAUUGAAUGGUUGUAAUGGCUGUAAAUAAAAGUGCGGGGAAGGGAGGGCACAGAUAUGGGAAGUUCGGGGGACAUGUCCCCUGUGUCGUCGUCCCCCAAAUUACAUCUGUGCCUGCACACACAGAUUCUAGAUUAACAAGGGGGAUGCUUUUUGGUCAAUUUUCUAAGAAAGGGGAUAGCAUCCGCCCUCAUCUCGACCACUGAAUAUUAUUAUUAUUAUUAUUAUUAUUAUUACAUAUGAUGUGUAUGUUAUAUUACAAGCUUUUCUCCUGCUCCUUUAGCAGAUAUCAUGGAGAUGGGUCAGGGACUUCCUCUGGGACCUGCACCGCCGUACCCUGGUCCCCAAUGCAAUGUGGGAGUCUACCAAACUCUGCCUUGCAUCCAGUUCAGUAAGAGAUCAGGGACCUUCAUCUGUAUCAUUUUGUCUGCAUGUUUUAGCCUAAUAUACCUCUUAUAUUCUGGAGGUAUUCCUGGUAGGAGCCUUUUGGCGGCUUGUUUGUCAUUCUGUUCUUUGAACCAUACUCAAGUUGUCUUCUUCUAACAUCCAGUUAAUCAACCCGCCUACCUGUACAGCCCACAACAACCUCAACCUGUGACCCCGGUGGUGAUGGUGCAGCCGAUGCCAACUGAAGUUCCUGGACAGAUGUUGUGUCCUUAUUGCCAGAACACAGUAAUCACUAAAACUGAGCACAAAAUUGGUUUGCUCACCUGACUGAUCUGUGGCGUCUUAACAAUAUUCUUGUGCUGGUUUUGCUACUGUAUCCCCUUCUGCAUGAAUAACUGCAAGGAUGUGAAGCAUUCCUGCCCCCUCUGUAACAACGUCCUGCACCUUCAUAUACGCAUAUAAAACAGCACUGCAGUGUCAACACAGCUGAAGUGGCAACAAAAGGUGCAGGAGUCAACCAUGACUAAAUAAACAUCUGGACAGGAGCCAAACCCUGUUAUACAAACACAAUGGACAUCAAGAUUGAGAAAAGCUGUGAUUUAAUCUUUUCUCUUGUUCAACUGUGUUGUAAAUAAUGUAAAAAUGUAAUAUAAUCUACAUCUGUGUUAAAUAUAGGCAAGAAUUUAGGAGGGUAAAUAAUAAAACUCUUACUUACUGGUGUAAAAUGCAG